GGUAGGUGGCUCAGUGGUAGAGCGCUUGCCUAGCAUGCAUGAGGCACUGGGUUCAAUCCCUGGCACCA
rnacentral:tRNA from 1 species